rnacentral:rRNA from 1 species
AUCGAACGCUGGCGGCAGGCCUAACACAUGCAAGUCGAACGAGUGGCGGACGGGUGAGUAAUUUCUGGGAAACUGCCUGAUGGAGGGGGCUAACUACUGGAAACGGUAGCUAAUACCGCACACCAUCAGAUGUGCCCGGGUGGGAUUAGCUAGUUGGUGGGGUAACGGCUCACCAAGGCGACGAUCCCUAGCUGGUCUGAGAGGAUGACCAGCCACCCUGGAACGGAGACACGGUCCAGACUCCUACGGAAGGCAGCAGUGGGGAAUAUUGCACAAUGGGCGCAAGCCUGAUGCAGCCAUGCCGCGUGUAUGAAGAAGGCCUGCGGGUUGUAAAGUACUUUCAGCGGGGAGGCGUUACCCGAAGAAGAAGCACCGGCUAACUCCGUGCCAGCCGCCGCGGUAAUAC